CUACGGGACGCAGCAGUGAGGAAUAUUGCACAAUGGGGGGAACCCUGAUGCAGCAACGCCGCGUGGAGGAUGACGCAUUUCGGUGUGUAAACUCCUUUUAUAUGUCAAGAAAAUGACGGUAGCAUAUGAAUAAGCACCGGCUAACUCCGUGCCAGCAGCCGCGGUAAUACGGAGGGUGCAAUCGUUACUCGGAAUCACUGGGCGUAAAGGACGCGUAGGCGGGUUGGAAAGUCAGGUGUGAAAUCCUACAGCUUAACUGUAGAACUGCACUUGAAACUUCUAAUCUAGAGUAUGGGAGGGGGAGAUGGAAUUAGUGGUGUAGGGGUAACAUCCGUAGAUAUCACUAGGAAUACCUAAAGCGAAGGCGAUCUCCUGGAACAUUACUGACGCUAAGGCGUGAAAGCGUGGGGAGCAAACAGGAUUAGAUACCCGUGUAGUC
rnacentral:rRNA from 1 species